ACAUCCAGCGAACUUGGCAGAGAUGCCUUGGUGCCUUCGGGAACGCUGAGACAGGUGCUGCAUGGCUGUCGUCAGCUCGUGUUGUGAAAUGUUGGGUUAAGUCCCGNAACGAGCGCAACCCUUAUCCUUUGUUGCCAGCGAUUCGGUCGGGAACUCAAAGGAGACUGCCGGUGAUAAACCGGAGGAAGGUGGGGAUGACGUCAAGUCAUCAUGGCCCUUACGAGUAGGGCUACACGCGUGCUACAAUGGCGCAUACAAAGAGAAGCGACCUCGCGAGAGCAAGCGGACCUCAUAAAGUGCGUCGUAGUCCGGAUCGGAGUCUGCAACUCGACUCCGUGAAGUCGGAAUCGCUAGUAAUCGUGGAUCAGAAUGCCACGGUGAAUACGUUCCCGGGCCUUGUACACACCGCCCGUCACACCAUGGGAGUGGGUUGCAAAAGAAGUAGGUAGCUUAACCUUCGGGAGGGCGCUUACCACUUUGUGAUUCAUGACUGGGGUGAAGUCGUAACAAGGUAAGCGUAGCGAG
rnacentral:rRNA from 1 species